rfam:Bacteroidetes bacterium GWA2_32_17 gwa2_scaffold_4043, whole genome shotgun sequence.
GCGGGAAUAGCUCAGUUGGUAGAGCAUCAGCCUUCCACGCUGAGGGUCGCGAGUCCGAGUCUCGUUUCCCGCU